GUAAGUUAAUUAGGGAUUAAUUAAGAAUUUUUUGGGUUAAUUAGACACUAACAGAGGCGGCAGCUAGGAGAGGUAAAAUGGUCAUUUAAUUUUUUUUAGAGUUGGUAUAAAUAGCAAAAGUCAAAGAAAAGUCUUCAUUCUCAUAUUUUAUUUUUUUUCUCCCUGACAUUUUUCUCUCUAGCUUGGCCGAACUUCCCACUCUUUCUCUCUGAUUUUUUUCACAAAAUUUCUCACAUAACUCUCUCAAUCUCUCAUCUCUACUCAUUUCCAAACACUAUCCCAUGUCCCUUUGUAGUUUCUGAGAGCUAGAAGAAGAAGCUUUAAAGGAGAAAAAUUUAAAAGGUUAGAGACUUGUUCAAGGGCUAGAGGUGUAGAGGCAAACCAAAACCCACCCAAGAGACUACAAGUUACAGUAUUGGCUAACAAGACAGGACGAUCUAGGGGAGUAUUUGCCCACACGCAGCAAGGAUAACCUGUAAUGGCAAAGAAAAACUAGGACAGUGAGCGCCGGGGUCUGCUUGCGAUGAUGUACAUGUGGUCUGACCUCUGGGAGUCUGCACCUUUGAAAUGUUGUUUUUAAUUAUGUUUAAACUAUUUUGGUUCAUUGCAAGACUUUUAAGUUUAAGAUGUAAAUAUUUUUGUAUGUGCACACAUUAUGUUUAAAAGUUUUUUUUAUAUAGA